rnacentral:rRNA from 1 species
UUUGCCUACGGGGCGCAGCAGUGGGGAAUAUUGCACAAUGGGGGAAACCCUGAUGCAGCGACGCCGCGUGAGUGAAGAAGUAAUUCGUUAUGUAAAGCUCUAUCAGCAGGGAAGAAAAUGACGGUACCUGAGUAAGAAGCCCCGGCUAACUACGUGCCAGCAGCCGCGGUAAUACGUAGGGGGCAAGCGUUAUCCGGAUUUACUGGGUGUAAAGGGGGCGCAGACGGCAAUGCAAGCCAGGAGUGAAAGCCCGGGGCCCAACCCCGGGACUGCUCUUGGAACUGCAUGGCUGGAGUACAGGAGGG